UAUUAUGUUUUCCCCCAAAUAAAUCAACUACAUUUGCAAGAAAAAAUUUCAGAGAAAAUGUUCCCUGAAAGAAUUGUGGGAAGUUGCACAAUUUCUCGCUGAUAAAUGUUCAGCCUUUUCCUCAAAUAUUUUGAACAUCUGAAAAACGUCCUUCAGUUGAGAUUUUGAAAAGAAUGCCUCAAAGACGGACGCCAUUGAAGUUCAGCAUGGAAUAGUAAAAGGGUUGGCAAAAUGCUCAUCAAGGUCCAGUACCGUGGACUAAAAAAGUACCUCAAACUGCAGCCUGGUUUUUCUUAUGAAAGUUUCAUUGAAGAAUUUGUGCCAGCAGGUUCUUCUACUCUAAAUUUUUCACUUUUCUGAAGUGAUAUGGAGAGGUCCUCUUCAAACGAGGGACAUCAAUCUCCUGGUGCAGGAGAGAACACCUCUGCCAUAGGGAAUGCAGCAGAAAAGGCCAAAUGGAUGGUCCAGGAGGUUCUGGAGAAGAGUUCAGGGGGAGAGGAAACAAUGGAGGAGUAUAGGAGAUUGAGCACCUUGACACACUGCACAAGACGGCAUCAUAUCCUGGUUGAAAUGCAUGGGUAUGUUUUGUUUUGUAAUGUGAAAAACUUGCCUGCAGCGUGACAAGAAAAAAAUAAAUUUGGUAGUAGAAUUGUUGUGUAAAAACAAUUUUGAACUGAUGUUUGUCCUUCUUUACACUUCUCAUCUUCUCAAAGGAACUCUAGAUCUCAU